AUAUAAACACAUACACACGCACAACGUUCACUAGAGGUGCCUCACACAGCAAGCUACCAGCAGUCAAGUGUCCUUCCGCCACUGAGUGACAGCCCAGCACACCUCUCGCCUCUCAACACACCACAAGAUGCUUGGCUCUUGGUUAAAGGUACUAAGGGUGCUACAGUGGGAGGGAGUGACGGUUGGCUCAGCCAGCGCCACCCACAAGCAUCUCCAAUGAUCGGUACAUGUCAUACACAUUCUGGGAUUCCCCUUCAGGAGAAUGUGCACCUCCACCACUCCACCAAUGACGACCACGCGCUCCUCUACACGACCACCACCACCACCACCACCACCACCACCACCACGGACGACCCCUGCCCUUCUCUUUCCUUUCCAUCGUUCCUUUCUUUCCCUUAAUAACACUCUUGGAGAUUAGAAGUAUUGGCAUUAGAUUUAUAACUUUGAUUUAAUUAGUGAAUUCUCUCUCUCUCUCUCUCUCUCUCUCUCUCUCUCUCUCUCUCUCUCUCUCUCUCUCUCUCUCUCUCUCUCUCUCUCUCUCUCUCUCUCUCUCUCUCUCUCUCUCUCUCUCUGUAUGUGUGACUUCUUGGAAUUAAACUUGUAACUGCAGAUUUGUUUUAAUUUCUCACCUAAAAACAGGAGGAGGAGGAGAAAGAAGAGGAGGAGGAGGAGGUUUUUACUGUUGCUAUUGUUUUCUAUCAGUUAAUAUAAACUUGAUUACAA